GAGAAUGAACUGACUGAGGGGGCAGGGACUGUUGAAUGACCCUCUCUGAGCUUGGCUCAACUGGACACAGAUCAAUGAAAAGGAGAAUCAUUGAAGGGAAGCAUAAAAUGUGCAAGUUAUGUGCAGACCUUCCAUGCACAUUGUCCACAAAUAAAAAGAUCAAAGAAUUCCUAUGAAACAUCACUGCAUUUGUAACAGUCCAAGGAAGAUCUAAUCCUGGAGAAUGCUGUUCAAAUAAUCCAAGAAGCAGAAACCAUAGACAGAUGUUAAAGUGAAAAGUCUCCGCUCUCUUCUCCUUUGACCAGUUCCACUUCUGUGAAGUACAUUGGAAGUUUGCUUACCUGUUUCAUUCUCGGGAGGAGGGUGUCACUAGCUAGAUCAGCAUUUAUUGUCCAUCCCAGAGAGCAGUUAAGAGUCAACAACCUUGCUGUGGGGCUGAAGUCACACGUAGU